CCCUUAGAUGUUCUGGGCUGCACGCGCGCUACACUGACGUACGCAACGAGUGUCCUUUACCGAGAGGUAUGGGUAAUCAUUUGAGUGUACGUCGUGAUGGGGAUAGAAUAUUGUAAUUAUUACUCUUCAACGAGGAAUUCCUAGUAAGCGCAAGUCAGCAGCUUGCGCUGAUUACGUCCCUGCCCUUUGUACACACCGCCCGUCGCUCCUACCGAUGGGUGAUCCGGUGAAUGAUUCGGACUCGGUUGCCUCUAGCCACUAGUGGCGCUCGAGAAAGUUUUGUGAACCUUAUCACUUGGAGGAAGGAGAAGUCGUAAC
rnacentral:rRNA from 1 species